UAGGGAAUCUUCCACAAUGGACGCAAGUCUGAUGGAGCAACGCCGCGUGAGUGAAGAAGGUUUUCGGACCGUAAAGCUCUGUUGUUGGUGAAGAAGGAUAGAGGUAGUAACUGGCCUUUAUUUGACGGUAAUCAACCAGAAAGUCACGGCUAACUACGUGCCAGCAGCCGCGGUAAUACGUAGGUGGCAAGCGUUGUCCGGAUUUAUUGGGCGUAAAGCGAGCGCAGGCGGAAGAAUAAGUCUGAUGUGAAAGCCCUCGGCUUAACCGAGGAAUUGCAUCGGAAACUGUUUUCUUGAGUGCAGAAGAGGAGAGUAGAACUCCAUGUGUAGCGGUGGAAUGCGUAGAUAUAUGGAAAAUACCAGUGGCGAAGGCGGCUCUCUGGUCUGCAACUGACGCUGAGGCUCGAAAGCAUGGGUAGCGAACAGGAUUAGAUACCCUGGUAGUCCAUGCCGUAACGAUGAGUGCUAAGUGUUGGGGAGGCUUCCGCCUCUCAGUGCUGCAGCUAACGCA
rnacentral:rRNA from 1 species